AUGUAUCAUGUGAAUCUUUAAUGUUUGUGGACAUUAAUACAAAUCUAGAGUGUGACAGAACAUCUUUGAAUUUUAUAUUCUCACUUAACAAAUAUUGGACUAGGCAAGGUGUGGAUACCUUUCCAGCUGAAAAUCUGAUCAAGGAGGCAGGCUUCUUGGCUCCAUGCUAAGAAUCAUCGAUGAUUUGUCAUAUUGGCCCUCUUGCUGGCAAAAUCUUAGUUUCUUAGGCAGUGGAAUGAAGCAUAACAAAACAAAAUCCCUAGAGGCUAGGAACAGAUAGUUUGAAAGAGAAGACACUGUAGCAUGUGCUGCUUAAGUACAUAUCUUCUGCUUUUGGAAUGGAAACUAGGAAGUCAUUUAAAUAGAUAUGUGUCUUUUUUAUCCUAUCUGUAGUAAUUUAUGUGGGAUAUUCAAAUAGGAAAAUACAGGCUAGCACUGCAUAUUGUAUCCAUGUCUUACAUUGUAUACAAAUGACUAUUAGAUUUAAAUGACUGUUCAACUAGCCCCAAUCUAACAGAUCGGAGAUUGUGGAGUUUCACUUCUUUGGACUGUGUCUUUUUCAUUUUGGCACUGAGUCUGCAGUCACCAUAACCACUUAGAAAAAACUGUAUUUUUUCUGUUCUCCUCGUGGGUUCUGAGUUUUAGAAUCUUGCCUUUUGUGUUGUUCAGUCAUCCAGGUGCCCUUUGCCCUCUGUAAGCCAUUAAACCUUUUGAAGAGGCAGCUUUGCUGGUAGAGUCGUAAGUGAAAUUUGGACCAAAAGUGAGUUUAUGAAGACUGGUGGGCAGGAGCUCAACAGCUGCAGGGUUGUCCUGCAGCCAGUGUCUGAUGUGCCCCAGCUGGGAAGCUGAUGAAUAGCUGAGAUCUGUAUCUGUGGACCUGAAUGUUGAUCCCUCGCUUCAGAUUGACAUACCUGAUGCGCUCAGUGAGAGAGACAAAGUCAAAUUUACAGUGCACACAAAGACCACACUGCCCACGUUUCAGAGCCCAGAGUUUUCUGUUACAAGGCAACAUGAAGACUUUGUGUGGCUACAUGACACUCUUAUUGAAACAACAGACUAUGCUGGGCUUAUUAUUCCACCUGCUCCUACGAAGCCCGACUUUGAUGGUCCUCGAGAGAAGAUGCAGAAACUGGGAGAAGGUGAAGGGUCUAUGACCAAAGAAGAAUUUGCCAAGAUGAAACAAGAACUGGAAGCUGAGUAUCUCGCUGUGUUUAAGAAGACUGUGUCCUCCCAUGAAGUCUUUCUUCAGCGGCUUUCUUCUCACCCUGUUCUCAGUAAAGAUCGCAACUUUCAUGUUUUCCUGGAAUAUGAUCAGGAUCUAAGUGUUAGGCGGAAAAAUACUAAAGAGAUGUUUGGUGGCUUCUUCAAAAGUGUGGUGAAAAGUGCUGAUGAAGUCCUUUUUACUGGAGUUAAGAGCACCUUGUUCUGUCCCCGGAGAAGCAACUUGAACCUUUCCACACUUGGCUUCAUUUUCUCCUUUUCUGUAAGGAGGGAGAUUACUCAGUUAAUUUCUAAAAUAAAGUACAAGAUCAGUAUUUUAUCCCACUCUCAGAACUACACUGUCCAGUUUGGUCACCAACUACAGGUGAUAGAGAAGCACUUGACAUGCAACCUAGCUGGCACAACUAAGGAACCAAACUUUAGAUUUUAUUUACAUACUGGAUUUCAAGGCGUUAGCACAAAGAUAAGAAUACAAAAUAACGUUUCCGUUACCGUUAGAGGAGGUAGAUGACUUCUUUGAGCAAGAGAAGAACUUCCUUAUUAACUAUUACAAUAGGAUCAAAGAUUCUUGUGUGAAAGCUGACAAAAUGACCAGAUCUCAUAAAAAUGUUGCCGAUGACUAUAUCCACACCGCAGCCUGCUUACAUAGCCUGGCUUUAGAAGAGCCCACAGUCAUCAAAAAGUACCUAUUGAAGGUUGCUGAGCUAUUUGAAAAACUAAGGAAAGUAGAGGGUCGAGUUUCAUCAGAUGAAGAUUUGAAGCUAACAGAGCUCCUCCGAUACUACAUGCUCAACAUUGAAGCUGCUAAGGAUCUCUUAUACAGACGCACCAAAGCCCUCAUUGACUAUGAGAACUCAAACAAAGCUCUGGAUAAGGCCCGGUUAAAGAGCAAAGACGUCAAGUUGGCUGAGGCACACCAGCAGGAGUGCUGCCAGAAAUUUGAACAACUUUCCGAAUCUGCAAAAGAAGAACUGAUAAAUUUCAAACGGAAGAGAGUGGCAGCAUUUAGAAAGAAUCUAAUUGAAAUGUCUGAACUGGAAAUAAAACAUGCCAGGAACAAUGUCUCCCUUUUGCAGAGCUGUAUUGACUUGUUCAAGAAUAACUGAUAUGCUUUCACUCAGAAGAAAAGAAAUGAAUGUGAAAGAAAGCCAAGCAUCACUUGCACUUAAAUCAUUACCACGGAAGAUAUAUUAGCUUCAACUCUAGUUUAAAAUUAUGUGAAUAAAUAUUUUGAUUUCUACAAAUCUUAACAUUUAACCAUGUUGGUUUAAAAAUAUUAUUGCUUGCUACUUGGACAUAACUAAUUUUUCCUUGUGCAUUUAAUACCUCUGGGCAGAAUCCAAAUACUGGGUUCUCCCGUAGUUCGUCUUUAGUUACUAAGAAAGGGUGUAGGACACAUUAGCCUUCUGGAAACAAGUAGAAUCCAUCACCUGGCCCAUGUCCCUACAAACCCAUGAUUGUCAGGGAGGUGCCAGUUACAGCAGGUGAUUCAGCUACUUGAGGUCGGUAACAGACCUUCCAUUCCUCACUGAAGGUGGGGUUUGUGUUUUUGUUUUGCCCUGUUACUCCACUGGUAGUCAUCUGGUGUUUGUACUAUAACAACAGCAAGAAAAUCUCAUUUAUCUUUAUAUACUCUUUGCACCUCCUUUUUUUAGUCGAGAUAUAAAUAUUUGAGGGGAGAGAAAUAUCUACAGGUAUAUAUGGAAACAAAUAAUGUGGUCUGCUUUAUAAGAUGGCCAGAUCUACAUUAGGAAAAGUAUGAGCCCCCUCCCUAAUGGCCGCUGGGGGGUGAGGGGGGUGUGUUGUAUGUCUUUGGGUGUUUGUUUUUUUAUAAAGCAUAUAAUAAAAUAAUCGUGCUACUAAUGU
rnacentral:sRNA from 1 species